AUGAUGAUGGUUCUCCACCUUCUAAGAGACCAAAGACCAACAAGCUACCAUAGCCACCAUUCCAGAACCUGCCAAUGCUGGGCAACAGAAAGUGAGGGGUUCAACUUUGUAACCCCAGUGGGCCUCCAUUGUCUCCAAGUCAACUUUCCUCCUCAUCUACAACUCCUCCAUACCAGCCCUGAACACCUGUUAACACCUGAACUAGUUAUUUGCUACUUCCCUCCUGGAAUGGCUAGUAAAAUAAACACUAAAGGUAAGAGAUUACAUGUACUUCUUAUUAAAUUUCACUACAUUAAGACAUUCUUUAUCAGCAUUCCAGAAAUCAUAGAGAAUCAUUGGCCAAUAUCUUUGUGGGACUUGCAGUUAGUUUCUUGGCUUUUUAAGGUAUUUUAUUUAAUGGACCUUUCUUUUCCUUUUUUUUAAAAAAAAAAAAAAAAUUCAUUGGAAGUGUCACUUUUGCAGUCCCACUUCAUUCAUGUUUCCAUGGCUUUUUUGAGCCUCCCUGUGGAGGAUUAGACUACCAGUUUGAUUUUGCAGGUUUCUUUGAAAAGAGCCAAACUGUAUGAAUUUUAAUACUCUGCUUCUAGAAAGGAUCUCCUUCCGUAUGUUUUUUCCUACAAUAUACUAAAGUAAUUCUGUGCCUGUUUUACAGCUUUGCAGUCCCCUAAAAGACCAUGAAGCCCUGAGAGGAAUGAAAAGGUUCCUGAAAUUGAGGUCACUGUGGAAGGUAAGGGCCAGUCCUUGGCAUGUUUCUGUUGAUUCUCCAUUCAAUAAUUAUGUCAGUUCUCUAGCUAUAUGUUUAUACAGAUGUAGUUAACCAAACUAGUUUUACAUGUGAACAGAUGCCUGUGAUAAAGCUAAAUUUCUAAAUGUUUUUAAUUGAAAUUUUGAAAAUCAUUAACAGUAAAUAAAUAACAUGGAUCACAUCAUAAACUGCACUCAAAUCCCUAAAAUGUUUUUCCUUUAUUACAGCAAAUAGGGGUCCAGAGGGUCACGUGGAAUGUUUCUUCAUCUUCUGUCUUCUUUGUUUUUUCUGUUAUUUUAAGGAAAGAAAGUUUAGGGAUAGUUUAAACAGCUGUGCCUGGAAUGAAAGUAUUUCAUACAAUACCUGUAAUAUACUUCCUUCUCUCCAUGCCCAUGGGGUCUGCAGGGUUCUCAUCUUUGCAUGUUUACAGUAUUAAAAUACUUCAUACAAUACCAAAGACUAGUUCCCGACCAACCAUCAAAUGUGAGUAUUUUUUCCGUCUUCUCAUAAAUGCAAAAGGAAAUAACUGCAUUAGGAUCGUUCUUUUUUUUUUUUUUUUUUUGAGACAGAUUGGGACUCUAGGAAUAAUCUUACCAGGAAUAACUUGAGGAUUAUUUGCUACUGCAGCCCGUUGUGAUUUUCCAAAUAGGGAGAUGCCUGUUUUUCUCACAUAAAAAUGAUUGAGCAGGUAGACUGAGGCUGACAUUGGUUCAGUAGCUCCAAGAUGGUAUGAGUGGCUUCCCUGUGCUUCUCUUCACUUUCCUUUCUGGUGCACGGUGACUGAGGGAGCUCCUGUUAUGUCUCCAUCCAAACAGGACAUACAUAAGUAAAGAAAAUGUAGCUUGAGAGCAGCCUGCACCCAUGGUCUGGAAAAAUAAGAGGCCUUUUUUGAAUCCUAGCAGAAUUUUGCAUAAGUCUCUUGGUUUUAAAAAAGAUGAGUUUUAAAAUAAUGAAGCACAAACUCUGAGGCCAAAGUGAUAGGAUUUAAAUCUGUGCUCUGCCACUUAGGAAAAUUCCUUAAGUUCUCUGUUCUUUAGGUCGAACACCUGUAAAAUGGGAGGAGGAAAAUAAUAUUUGACUCAUGGUUUUUAAAAAUUGAUAUGUUAAAGGCUGGGCGCAGUGGCUCACACUUGUAAUCCUGGAACUUUGGGAGGCCAAGGCAGGUUCCAGGCCAACUUCCAGGUUCCCUUCACUGCCUGCUCUGCAGUGAAGGGUGAAUUUGGAACUGACGGGCAGUCAUUGGACCCUAGAAGUGAGUUCCUUAAAUGCUUCCUCUGUCACCUGGUGCAUUAUUAAAUGUUGUCAAUACAUGGUGCUAGAGGAACAUUGUAAGAGGCUUUUCUUUCUGGUUGUGGUGUGCAAAUCUCCACAGGCAGUGAUCUUCUCCAGCACCAGGCUCCUAUCCUGCACGGUGCUCAGCAGCACCCGGUGACCGGCAGUUUCUCUGCAUUUGCCUGGGUGAUUUUAUAGUGAGACUGUUCAUUAAUAGCUUAAGGUACCAUCCUAGAUGGUGGAUUUUCAGCAAAUUUCAGAGGGCAUGUUGCCAGCAUGUUCCACCAUGUGGUAAUGCAGCAAAUCUGUCAUUGAAUUACCCAUGACGGUGCCCCCUAGAGAGGGUUUCUCCAUGUUGGUCAGGCUGGUCUCGAACUCCGGACCUCAAGUGAUCCACCUGACUCAGCCUCUCAAAGUGCUAGGAUUACAGAUGUGAGCUACCAUACCCAGCUAGCUGUAUUUCUUUAUUGCCCUCCCUCUUUUUUUUUUUGAGCCCUAGUGAGGAAUUCCUUCCUUGGUCACUCUGUUCUCCAAUGUAGGCGACCAGUAGUGACAGUGUAACUGCUCAUUGUUACUUCCAGGCUUGGGCGAAACCUUAAUGGCUUUUUUUUUUUUUUUUGAGACAGUGGUCUCCUCUGUUGCCUCAGGCUAAAGUGCAGUGGUGAAAUCAUGGCUUGCUCAAGCAAUCCUUUCACCUCAUCCUCCCAAGUAGCUAGGAUUAGAAACGUGUGCCACACACCUGGCCUUUUUUUUUUUUUUUUUUUUUUUGUAGAGACAGGGUCUCACUGUGUUUCUCAGGCUGGUCUGAAACUGCUGGCCUCAAGCAAUCCUCUUGCCUUGGCUUCCCAAAUUGCGGGAAUUAUAAGCAUGAGCCACCAUGCCCGGCCUCUGCUAGUCUUACGUUCUCUAGCGUUCUCUUUACUUAUGUAGCUAAUCUCUCAUUACGGUGUUACCCUUAUAGUUAAUAAUUUUUUAUUUUAAAUUUUACCACUUUAAACUUUGGGUGGUUUAUGUCUAUGGUUGGACUCUGACAAAUACAGAAUUGAUGCUAGGAAGGGUCCCAGGAGAUAGACCCACACAGAUGGGAUUUGGGCAUAGGUUUGGUUAUCCAAGGGGCAGCGUCGAGGUCCUUGCCAAUGGGAAAUGGGAUGCAGGUGAUUUUUAGGAAGGGACCUCAUAAUGUUUCAAGCUUCCAGUUACUGUUCAUUGUGAUGAAAUGCCAGCUGAGGCACAUGCCUUGGGAGCUAAGUGACUUCUGUAUUUGCCCACUGAGAAGACUGUGUGGGAAGGGUCCUUUUGGAUGCACUUGAGCCCAUAAUCCCUGAAUCACUGGUCAAUACUUGGCAUUAAUUGGAUCAGAUAAUUAUUUUAUGAAGAAUUUUCAUAUGCCACCAUCCUGACCAUAUCUUUAAGUGAAUAGAAAAAUUCUAUUAAAAAGUCAACCUUCUGUCUCACUCUGUUGCCCAGACGGGAGUGCAGUGGUACAGUUAUGGCUCACUGCAGCUUCAACCUUCUGGGCUCAAGCAGUCCUGCCUCUGCCUCACGAGUAGCUGGGACUAGAGAUGCUUGUCACCACACCUCACUAAUGUUCUCCUUUUUCCUAUAUGUGGAUUCCACAGGUCUGACUUCGAAAACUUGAGUAUGCAUGGAUUUUGGUAUACACAGAAAUGGAGAAGCUGGAACCAAUCCCCCCAUAUACCAAGGGACAAAUUGUAUCUGUUUUUUGUUGUUGUUGUUGUUGUUGUUGUUCGUUUUUUGAGACAGAGUCUUGCUCUGUUGCCCAGGCUGGAGUGCAAUGGCACAAUCUUGGCUCACUUCAACCUCCACCUCCUGGGUUCAAGCGACUCUUCUGCCUCAGUUUCCUGAGUGGCUAAGAUUACAGGUACCCACCGUCAUGCCUAGCUAAUUUUUGCAUUUUUGUAGAGACGGGGUUUCACCAUGUUGGCCAGGUUAGUCUUGAACUUCUGACCUUAGAUGAUCCACCUGCCUUGGCCACUCAAAGUUCUGGGAUUACAAGUGUAAGCCACUGUGCCUGGCUUUUUUUUUUUUUUUUUUUUGAGAUGGGGUUUUGCUCUCUUUUGCCUAGGCUGGAGAGCAAUAGUGUGCUCUCAGCUCACCACAACCUCCACCUCCCAGGUUCAAGCGAGUCUCCUGCCUCAGCCUCCCAAGUAGCUUGGAUUACAGGCACCACCAUGCCUGGCUAAUUUUGUGUUUUUUAGUAGAGACGGGGUUUCUCCAUGUUGGUCAGGCUGGUCUCAAACUCCCAAGCUCAGGUGAUCCACCCGCUUUGGCCUCCCAAACUGUUGGGAUUACAAAUGUGAGCCACCGUGCCCGGCCUCUCUGUUUUUACAAUUAUACUGUUAAAUACAUGAUGUUCCAUGACAGUGGUAAUUUUUAAUGACAAUUUUUAACUGAGUGGAAUUAACAUAAAAAUAAUAAAGGUAGCAGCUAAUCUUUAAUGAGCUGUUACUAGGUGCCUAUAAAUACCAUAGAUUUUUAAAUUCCCCACAUCUCUUAUUUCACUUAACCACUCCAUAUUAAAUUACUCAGGCUUGCUUCAGGAACACAUAUACUAAAGUUGGAACAAUAGAAAGAUUGGCAUGGCCUCUGUGCAAGAAUGACAUGCAAAUUUAUGAAGCAUUCCAUAUGUUUUUAAAACAGAGAAAAAUAUUACUCCUGUGUUUGUGCAUAUGACCUUUGUUCAGGUUGAAUUAUAUCCAAAGGUGAUAUUUCCAAAAAUGAGAUUACUGCGAGUCACAAGGCAUUAGCAUUCUUAUUACACUUGAUGUAAAUUGCCCAGCUUUCAGCCAUGGUGGCUGUCGGCCUAUAAUUCUAGCACUUUGGGAGGCUGAGGUGGGAGGAUUGCUUGAGGCCAGGAGUUGGGGGAGGCUGUAUAGUGAGUCAUUUUAUCAUUUUUUAAAAAUUUCCAAGCUUUACCCUGGAAGGCUUAUAUACAAUUUAAACACGACUAAUGGUACAAGAAAAUGCCCAUUUCACUGCACCUUUGCUGGCACAGGGUAUUAUAACUUAAAAAGUUAUUUUUUGUUUGAUUAUUUUUAGUAAAUAAAAGACCUCAUAUUACUUUAUUUUUGUCACAUUUUAAUAUAUUUUCUUAUGUUAGCUUAUUAGCUUUCUUUUUUGUUUGUUUUAAAGAUGAAAUUUCACUCUUGUUGUCCAGACUGGAGUGCAAUGGC
ensembl:lincRNA